GGAGGGGUGCCCGAGCGGCCGAAGGGGUGCGACUGGAAAUCGCAUGCACGGGCUAAAACCCGUGCCGCGGGUUCGAAUCCCGCCCCCUCCG
rnacentral:tRNA from 1 species